CUACCCACAACGCACAGACCAGAAACCAGGAUAGACAGAAGCCUGGGAUGGCCUAGCACCGAGCAGGCCCAGCGCAAACGCAAGGUCUCUUUCUCUCCUCUCGGUGAACCCCACGCCCAGUCCCGGGAGAGGGAGCGGAUGCUUAUUUCCGAAAGCUGGCAAUCCUGCAGUGGCAACUGGAAAAAUAUAUAUACUUGUGUGUGUGUGAGUGUGUGUGUGAGAGAGUGUGCGUGUGUGUGUGCGCGCGCUCGCGCGUACAGCGCAUAUCGUGCCCAGCUACAAGGAAACCUGGCGGCUCCUCUGAAACACAACUUUGAGUCCCGGCAGGGCGGAGGUGGAGAGAGAUUCUCCGCUUGGGUAAGGGCGGUUGGAUGGCCGAGUACUCUAUUUUGGGGCUGUUGGCCUUCUCCGGAGUCCCGGGAGUGCCUUGGUGUCCCUUCCCAGGGCUAAGGGCUCCUUUGAGAGAAUCAAGAGGAAGGUGUUUUUCACUAGGACUCGCGGCGGGCCCCACCUGCCUCCCGUGGCCUGCCGGGAGCUGUUACAGCAGGGUCUGCCCCUCGGACGACGGCGCUCCAAUCUGGGGUCGCGCCGGCGCGGACCCUCAGCUCUCUCCCGAUACCCGCUGGCCUCUCACAUCUUUGGUGGCACUGGCGGCCACGGGGAGGGUGAGAUCAAAGAGGUAAACCUAGGCCUGGAGGGACGGCCAGGGUUCCUUCCCGCGGGCCAGCCUCUCGUCCUUCCUCCCGGGAGGGGGCGCCUUCCCUUUCUCCGGAUGCGGGCCUUUCAGAGUCAGCGACGCCUUAGACUCCUCCCAGAAAAAUGCACCCUCAUCUACCCAAUUCUGCCCUACCUGUUGGAGCUCCCGGACCCGCCCACUCGGUGAGGUCAGAGCCCACCCCUGGAAGGGCCGCUUGUCGGGGACUGGCUCGCCCUCUCCUGGCCUCCCCGGACCAGCGCGCGGGGAGGAUCCCGGCAACGCCGGGCGGCUGCAGACCUUGAACGGCCUUAGCCUGGUGACCUCCCCGGGAAAGGCUAGGCGGUGCUUCCACCCUGAGGGCCACUUGUUAAUUCGCACGAGAAAGUGCUGCCGAGGGUCCACACGUGCGAAUCCGCCUGUGGAGUGCUUCCCCGCCCUGGGGGCAAGGCCUAGGGGAGGCCAAAGGGGAGAAGUUGCCGGAAGACUGGGAAGUAAGGGCAGGGGCGUCAGAGGAAUCGAAGGUGCAGUGACAUCAGGCUCGGACACCCGGCGGACUCCUCUCAAGGUUUCUCCCCUACAAAGCCUGCUUGCUGCAGGAUACGAGAGUUCAGUCACUCCUUGGGAACUGUCUGCAGGGCCCGGGAACCCUCCUCCAAAUGCUCCUGCAGGUGGCAACAGAGGCCAAGGAAAGGUGAAGCAUUCUGGCAGGAGUUCCGGAGACAGAUGA
rnacentral:lncRNA from 1 species